rnacentral:rRNA from 1 species
AACGAACGCUGGCGGCAUGCCUAACACAUGCAAGUCGAACGAGACCUUCGGGUCUAGUGGCGCACGGGUGCGUAACGCGUGGGAACCUGCCCUUAGGUUCGGAAUAACUCCCCGAAAGGGGUGCUAAUACCGGAUAAUGUCUUCGGACCAAAGAUUUAUCGCCUUUGGAUGGGCCCGCGUUGGAUUAGCUAGUUGGUAGGGUAAAAGCCUACCAAGGCGACGAUCCAUAGCUGGUCUGAGAGGAUGAUCAGCCACACUGGGACUGAGACACGGCCCAGACUCCUACGGGAGGCAGCAGUGGGGAAUAUUGGACAAGGGGCGAAAGCCUGAUCAAGCAAUGCCGCGUGAGUGAUGAAGGCCUUAGGGUUGUAAAGCUCUUUUACCCGGGAUGAUAAUGACAGUACCGGGAGAAUAAGCUCCGGCUAACUCCGUG